GGACUUUAACAACUGCUGUGCUUUCUAGGUUGGGAAGUUAGGGUGGAAGAUUGCCAGCAGCCAUGGCCUCCCAUGAGGGUGUCCCUUUCAAGUUUGAGAACGCACUGGGGGACUGCAGAUGGUGUUGACAGCAGCUGAGGUGAGUUGGUCUGUACAGUGAUUAGCUGUCAUUACUCUGAAACAAAGAUAUCAAAUGAUGAUAUCACCUUAAAUAGCUGGAAUUACCGGCAGAUUGCUAGUGGUGAGCCUAUGGUUUUCUGAAGAUAUCUCUAAAUGUUGAGAAUGCUAUUAGUCCAUGUAGGAGUGAUUCUGAAAUUGAGUUGUUUUUGCAGGCUACAUUCCCAGGAGUCUCCAGCCAUCACCCCAAAAGCAAGGUGUGGGUCAGCCAACUUUUGUUCUGGACAGGCACGGUUGGUGGUCCUGUCUCCCACAGGAUCUUCUGUACCAUUUAAUAAAGUUUUGUUUAUAAGACUG
rnacentral:lncRNA from 1 species